AGCGAAAUAGUUUAAAGGUAAAAUAUCUGCCUCAUGAGCAGAAGCUUGAGGUUCAAAUCCUUAUUUCGCUC
rfam:Serendipita vermifera MAFF 305830 unplaced genomic scaffold scaffold_217, whole genome shotgun sequence.